rnacentral:rRNA from 1 species
GACGAACGCUGGCGGCGUGCCUAAUACAUGCAAGUCGGACGCAGUUGCGAACGGGGGAGUAACGCGUAGGUAACUACCUAUUAGAGGGGGAUAACUAUUGGAAACGAUAGCUCAUACCGCAUACUAGUAGAUGGACCUGCGUUGUAUUAGUUAGUAGGUAGGGGAAUGGCCUGCCUAGGCCACGAUACAUAGCAGAACUGAGAGGGUGAAGGGCCAAACUGGGAGUGUGACAGGGCCCAGUGGCCCAGGGGAGGCGGCAGGAGGGAAACUUGGGGAAUGGGGGGAACCCUGAGCGAGCAACGCCGCUGUAGUGAAGAAGGUCGUCGGAUCGUAAAGCUCUGUUGUUAAGGAAGCGGUACUUAACCAGAAAGGGCCGGCUAACUACGGGCCAGCAGCCGCGGUAAUUC